rnacentral:lncRNA from 1 species
CUUGAACAAAGAAGGUCUGCUGGAGCAGAAAAAGAGAAACUGACCAGAUGAAUGAGAAACCCUGGGAUGAGUCUGCCUGCAGAGGAUAUAAGGAGAUGGAUAAACCGUGUGAGUGCCCUCAAGUUGUGUGCGACCAUGGAAUGGGAGACUGGAGGGAUACAUGGAUCCCAACUACAGGCCCAGCUCCUCCAGUAUGAGCCAUGAGCCAGUUGAAUCUGAAUGUGAAGAUGGAAUGAAGACCGACCAGAGUCACACUGACGUCAACCCUUGUAACAUGGGGUCAGAUCAAGAAAACCACACCAGAAGCUGAGAAACUGGUGUAGUGCCAGGGUCAGGCAAAAACCCCUGACUCCAUGUUUAUGGCCAUGCUAGCUGUAAUAUCCUGUGCAGUAUGAUUUUUCUGUGCAGAAGCAAAAACAUAUUGGGCAUAUUUUCCUAACCCACCGGUAGUGUGAUCAUACUCUGAAGCAGCACUCCUCCUGAGACAUAUCAUGAUCAAGGAGCAUCAGUACCAGGACCUCUAACUCCCCCUGACACAGAGCAAUUAGACUCUCAGAACAAUGGUAUCAAUUAUACCACUCCAUUGGAGGGACUUCCUUUAUGUGUCACCCAGGAUACGUUGCUCAACUGCAGUUGCCUUGCAGUUUGAUCCCAAGCAUGGUUGAGUUACCAUAAAAAAGUUAUGUACCUAUUAGACCUUAGCUUUAUUAAUAUUACUUAUGUAGUUACUAAUCACUCCUGGCCCCAUCACCCAAAUUGUACUGAUUAUACAGAAUGGGCUCCCUUUGAUAAUUCUCACCCCCCUCCUUGGGCCCACUGUCUUGGCCCCUUAGCUAGACAAUAGUCCAUGUUAAUGGGAGACAUUAUUGACUGGGGUCCCUGUGGUCAUUAAGAUGGGAGAGAUGAGAAUCAGACCACAUGGCAUAAACUUCACUGGCACUGGUGGUGAAACUUUAACAUCUCUUCACUUCAACACACUGGGAUUCAAUCCCAAUCUGCCAUGCAACUUGCUUGGCAUGGAACGGGCUUUAGCCCACCUUUGCCUCAAUGGCAUUAUCAAGGAAAGAGAGGUCCAAUUCAGGAGUCUAUGUGGAAGGCAGCACUCCCAUAUAUGAAUGGCAGCAUUUGGGUUGGGACACUAUCCAGUAAUAGUAAUAGUGCUCAAUACAGUUUAAUGUUACCUUUGUAAAAAAUGUUUGAAAUUUGUGUUUUUAAUCCCUAUGUUUUUCUAGCAGCAAAAAAGGACCAACUCCAGGUAAACAAUGCCCAAUUGAAUUGUGAUUCCUGUCAACUCUAUCAUUGCCUUAAUCAUAGCACAAUACAAACACACAGCAUAUCCACCCUAAUAAUUCUAGGUCGCAUUCCUGGAUUAUGGAUUCCUGUAAAUCUGUCUGAGCCUUGGGCAGCCACCCCCACUUUACAUUUUGUAAAACUUCUUACUCAGCUUACUCAUGGCACUCGUAGAGCCUUAGGCAUGAUAAUUUUUACUAUAGUCUCCUUAAUUACAUUAAUACCCUCUGUUGUGGUGUCCUAAGUAGCACUGGACAGCUCCACUCAAACAGCUCAAUAUGCAGAAAAUUGGAUGCAUACAGCUGACCAGGCAUGGAUGUUUCAAAAUAAAACUAACACUGAGAUACAAACAGAAGUGGCAAUGUUAAAGACUACUGUUCUGUGGCUAGAAGAACAAGUACAAAGCUUGCAGUUGCAGCAGCAAUUGCGUUGUCAUUUUAACCAUACUCAUAUUUGUGUAACCAAUUAGGAAUAUAAUCAAAGUGAAUAUCCAUGGAACCUUGUAAAGGCCCAUUUACAGGGAGCUGUUACAUCCAAUGUUACUUUUGAUAUUAAUGAUUUACAAAGUAAAAUUCUAACAGCACCUCAAUAUCUUUUUCAUAAUUAUUGGAAUAAUGUUACUAUGUUUCUGUUUUUUGUUCAUAGUCUGUAAAAUCAACUGGAACACCAACCAGCAAUUGAGAGCUGCACAGCCUGCAAUUACCUUUAUUCAAUUAAAUCAAAAGCAGAAAGGGGGAGAUGUUGGAGGCUGAAAGAAUGAGGGUCAUGACCAACUCAGUAUACCACUGGAGGCUAUGUGAGCAAACAGCAAACUGUUCUCAUGAAUACAGGAUAUUGGCAAGCUGACAGCUGCAUCUGCCACCAGAAGGAAUGCUGAGGACAGUCAUGCACCAGGCACAGUGUUCCUUGUAGUUAUCUAUAGGAACAUCUGGACCCUGUUGUAUAAAGAAAGCAAUUAUUUGAGCCUGUGAUAAAUCAAGCAGCUGACUAAAACUGUUACCCCUUCCUCCCUGUUGAUUCUACCUAAUACAUGCGAAGGGCUGUAUAAGCUCAGGGCCCUUGUUCCCUAGAAGCAAGGAGCCCCCUGACC